rnacentral:rRNA from 1 species
UACGUAGGGUGCGAGCGUUAAUCGGAAUUACUGGGCGUAAAGAGCGCGCAGGCGGUCGUCCAAGUCGCGUGUGAAAGCCCCCGGCUCAACUGGGGAGGGUCACGCGAUACUGGUCGACUCGAAGGCAGGAGAGGGUAGUGGAAUUCCCGGUGUAGUGGUGAAAUGCGUAGAUAUCGGGUGGAACACCAGUGGCGAAGGCGACUACCUGGCCUGUUCUUGACGCUGAGGCGCGAAAGCUAGGGGAGCAAACGGG